rnacentral:rRNA from 1 species
UACGUAGGGUGCAAGCGUUGUCCGGAAUUAUUGGGCGUAAAGAGCUCGUAGGCGGUCUGUCGCGUCUGCUGUGAAAACUCGGGGCUUAACCCCGGGCCUGCAGUGGGUACGGGCAGACUAGAGUGCGGUAGGGGAGACUGGAAUUCCUGGUGUAGCGGUGAAAUGCGCAGAUAUCAGGAGGAACACCGAUUGCGAAGGCAGCUCGCUGGGACGUGACUGACGCUGAGACGCGAAAGCGUGGGGAGCAAACAGG